AAUUUAUUGUCGAUUAAACCUAAAAAACAUAAAAAAGGGUUGGUCAAAAAAAUAAGUACAGCAAUUCUUCAAAGCCUCUAACUUAAAAAUAAAAAACAUUUUCUCAAUUUUUUUCGUUUUCGAUGCUAACUGGGCGACGCUAAUUUGACAGACAAAAAUAUUUCCUGGAUUUAAAAAAAGUUUUUAAUUUUAUACGUUUUGAAUUUUUGAACCUGUCGCGGAACGGAUUAGGGUUAUUGAUAGUUAGUUAAGUUUAAACUCAGCGCCGAAGUAUUAUUUGUAUCGAUAGCUUUGGUAUUUAAGUUUAGAUUAUCUGGUCCCACGAAAAAAAGUGUAACAAGAGGGAAACAAUUUGGCGGAAUUAGACCGAUUUGCGCCAUCACGAUAAGAGGGAAGAGAAACUGCGAAUAAAACCAUCAACAAACACAGAACUCCAACUGUUGUCCAGCACUAGUGUUUAAAGUGUUUAAAUGCAUUCCCUGUGAUCGGCCAAGCGGCGACAGAACCCAAACAACAUUUUUUGCCACCCUGACGGAGUGAGAUGGAAAAUAUGGAAAAAAUGGACGGAGUAAGAUGGCAAGACUCUUUUGUGUCUGCUUCUCCAAGAAUUUCAAGCAUUCGAGAAAACAGCAAGAAAUUAUUGCAAGAACUUCUAAAUAGCUGCAUUAUUGAAAGUGAAGUUUGUUUCCAAGGUUCUUCAAAAGCCAAAACAAAUCAAAGCUCUGAUUGCGAAGUUUCCGAAAAUGCAUACUAUCACUAGUCCAUUGUCCACCAAAAAAAAUUGUACUGAAAACUUCCAAAAUGAAGUUUUGCAACAUUGCCAACAGACCAAGCCAACUUCAUUCGACUUUGAAUAUGCUGAAUGUAAUAUGGUCAAUACUGAAAAGAUUGGAAGAGUGUAUGGUCUUUAGAUAUACCCCAAGUCAUGGAAAUCGCCAUAAUUUCAAAACAGAAGAUGUGGUUUUAAAAAUAAUACCGAUCGAGGGUUCCACUGAAAUCAACGGAGAAAUGCAAAAAACAUUUAAACAUAUUUUGCCUGAAAUAAUUAUUUAAAAAAAAAUGAGCAGUCUUCGAAACGGAAAAAACAACAUUACGAGUGGAUUUUAAAAUUUAAAUAAGGUAUAUUUUUAUUAUAAUUUUGGUUAAAAGUGUGCAACGCUGUGAAGGAGACAUCUCCGACCCUUUAAAGUAUAUAUAUUCUUCAUCAGGAUCACCUCCUGAGUCGAUAUAAGCAUGUCCGUCUGCCCGUCUGUCUGUCGGUUACUACGCAAACUAGUCUCUCAGUUUUAGAGCUAUCGAGUUGAAACUUUGCACACAUCCUUCUUUUUCUUGCAGGUAGUACAUAAGUCGGAACGGCCGGGAUCGGUCGACUAUAUCCUAUAGCUGCCAUGUAACUGAUUGAUCGGAAUUGCCAUUUUGGUGUUUUUUAAGUUAGAGGGUUGGGACUUUCCACACAUGUUAUAUUUGAAUAAAUAUAUACACUGCUGGCCAAAAUAAUAAGUACAGGCUCAUAAGAUUUCUUCUAUGUCACGUAAAUCUUUUUUGAUUACCGUAACGAACCAAUUCUAAUUUCUUUUAUUUUUCUGCCAUAAUGUUGAUUAUAAAAAUACUUAACAUAAGAAUAUUUCACGAAAUCUGUAGAAUUUAUUGUCGAUUAAACCUAAAAAACAUAAAAAAGGGUUGGUCAAUAAAAUAAGUACAGCAAUUCUUCAAAGCCUCUAACUUAAAAAUAAAAAACAUUUUCUCAAUUUUUUUCGUUUUCGAUGCUAACUGGGCGACGCUAAUUUGACAGACAAAAAUAUUUCCUGGAUUUAAAAAAAGUUUUUAAUUUUAUACGUUUUGAAUUUUUGAACCUGUCGCGGAACGGAUUAGGGUUAUUGAUAGUAAGUUAAGUUUAAACUCAGCGCCGAAGUAUUAUUUGUAUCGAUAGCUUUGGUAUUUAAGUUUAGAUUAUCUGGUCCCACGAAAAAAAGUGUAACAAGAGGGAAACAAUUUGGCGGAAUUAGACCGAUUUGCGCCAUCACGAUAAGAGGGAAGAGAAACUGCGAAUAAAACCAUCAACAAACACAGAACUCCAACUGUUGUCCAGCACUAGUGUUUAAAGUGUUUAAAGGCAUUCCCUGUGAUCGGCCAAGCGGCGACAGAACCCAAACAACAUUUUUGGCCACCCUGACGGAGUGAGAUGGAAAAUAUGGAAAAAAUGGACGGAGUAAGAUGGCAAGACUCUUUUGUGUCUGCUUCUCCAAGAAUUUCAAGCAUUCGAGAAAACAGCAAGAAAUUAUUGCAAGAACUUCUAAAUAGCUGCAUUAUUGAAAGUGAAGUUUGUUUCCAAGGUCCUUUAAAAGCCAAAACAAAUCAAAGCUCUGAUUGCGAAGUUUCCGAAAAUGCAUACUAUCACUAGUCCAUUGUCCACCAAAAAAAAUUGUACUGUAAACUUCCAAAAUGAAGUUUUGCAACAUUGCCAACAGACCAAGCCAACUUCAUUCGACUUUGAAUAUGCUGAAUGUAAUAUGGUCAAUACUGAAAAGAUUGGA